rnacentral:rRNA from 1 species
AAUCAACGCUGGCGGCGUGCCUCAGACAUGCAAGUCGAACGAUUAAAGCUCUCUUCGGAGAGUGUAUAGAGUGGCGCACGGGUGAGUAACACGUAAGUAAUCUACCCUCGAGUGGGGAAUAACAACCGGAAACGGUUGCUAAUACCGCAUAAUGCAGCGGCACCGCAAGGUGACAGUUGUUAAAGAUUUAUCGCUUGAGGAGGAGCUUGCGGCAGAUUAGCUAGUUGGUAGGGUAACGGCUUACCAAGGCUACGAUCUGUAACCGGUCUAAGAGGACGGUCGGUCACACUGACACUGAAUAACGGGUCAGACUCCUACGGGAGGCAGCAGUCGGGAAUUUUGGGCAAUGGGCGAAAGCCUGACCCAGCAACGCCGCGUGAAGGAUGAAGUAUUUCGGUAUGUAAACUUCGAAAGAAUAGGAAGAAUUAACGACGGUACUAUUUAUAAGGUCCGGCUAACUACGUG